GUGAGGAAUUUUCCGCAAUGGGCGAAAGCCUGACGGAGCAAUGCCGCGUGAAGGAUGAAGGCCUAUGGGUUGUAAACUUCUUUUCUCAGAAAAGAAUUAUGACGGUAUCUGAGGAAUAAGCAUCGGCUAACUCUGUGCCAGCAGCCGCGGUAAGACAGAGGAUGCAAGCGUUAUCCGGAAUGAUUGGGCGUAAAGGGUCUGUAGGUUGUUUAAAAAGUAUUCUGUCAAAGAUUAGGGCUUAACCCUAGAUAGGCAGAAUAAACUUUUAAGCUAGAGUUUGGUAGAGGCAGAGGGAAUUCCCGGUGGAGCGGUGAAAUGCGUAGAUAUCGGGAGGAACACCAAAGGCGAAGGCACUCUGCUGGGCCAAUACUAACACUGAGAGACGAAAGCGAGGGGAGCAAAUGGGAUUAGAAACCCGGGUAGUCC
rnacentral:rRNA from 1 species